CAUCACAAAUUGAAAACUACAUUGUUUCGCUCUCUCUCUUUCCCAGAAAUUUGUUGGAUUCUGGGGUUUUCUUGGCUCGCAGGAUCACCACUCGACGCCUUUCCAGGUGUCAAUCCCACCUAGGGCGGACUGGGAGAUGAACGAACCAGGCCCUGCGAAUGCGGUCCACUUUUACACUGAUCGCAGAUCAGUUAGAUGUCUCUUAUAUGGGUCAUCGGACACAGGGACAUCCAUUAGAAUGAUGCCGCCAACGAUCUAGCCAGUUAUUCCAGCUAUCACGGGACACUGGAAGAUUGGCACUCACUUCUCCAGACCGUCAAUCCCGCCCAAUUACCGAAGCAAUCUGUCUUUUUCUGCCACUGUCCGGCCCGCUCACGGACAUUUUGGGAAAUUUAUGCCUACCACGGAUUAGGCAGAGAGCGGCAACACAAAGGACCUUUUACAGGUCCAAGUGAAACGGGGGAGACUCGCCGCCUUUCCCCAGACACCGCCACAACUUAUCCCAAACUGGAUAGACUUCAGUUCUGUUAUAUGUAGCAUUUGGUCACAUAAACGAAAUGUGUUCAUUGGGAGAUGAGUACCGAGGACACGGCGUUAAAAAUAGCUAAACAAAUUGUUACAAAACAAUUUUCCAAGUGAAACGGGGGAGACUCGCCGCCUCUCCCCAGACACCGCCACAACUUAUCCCAAACUGGAUAGACUUCAGUUCUGUUAUAUGUAGCAUUUGGACACAUAAACGAAAUGUGUUCAUUGGGAGAUGACUACCGAGGACACGGCGUUCAAAAUAGCAAAUCAAAUUGUAUGCCCUCCCGUGAAAUCGAGUGAGUCAGAGCGAGUUUUUAUUAAAAACGAGGGGGAACGUUGUGAGUUGCUGCGGACACCGAAAUUUUGAGA